ensembl:lncRNA
UAACCACUAGGCUACCCGCCGCCUCUACACUCUAACCACUAGGCUACCUGCCACCCCAUCAUGAGUCGUCCUCCCUCAGCAGCCUGUGUUACACUUCUACAUCUGUCCAAUGUCAAUACAGAAUAUAGACCACUGCAGUUCAUCACUCCAAAUGAUUUGACCUCUAUGAAAUAUUUAGAAGUCAUAGAAUAUAUGGUGCAAUGAUCUCUCCCCCCCCCAUGGAUUAUGAUACAAAUCAACCAAAAUGAACACAAUGCUGAACAGAGAAUUAUGAAUGCACAAAGCCUUUCAUUGACGCUCAACGCCAUUCAUACGCCCCCUAUAUCCUACCCCCCACGAGCCACUUCUCCCCUCCCCCACACGUUACCACCCAGCACGCGGAUCACUGCGGUCAUCGAGUGUGUGUGUGUGAGAGCUGUGUGACGCAGAGCCGAAAACGCGUCACUGAAUUGAGAAUGAAAAAAAUAAUAAGGGAAUGUCGGACUGAGCAGAAAUACACUGAAGGGAACAGAGAGAGAGGAGAGCAGAGCAGAGAGAUGAGAGCAGAGCAGAGAGCAGAGCAGAGCAGAGAGAUGAGAGCAGAGUAGAGUAGAGUAGAGAGAUGAGAGCAGAGUAGAGAGAUGAGAGCAGAGUAGAGUAGAGAGAUGAGAGUAGAGUAGAGUAGAGUAGAGAGAUGAGAGCAGAGUAGAGUAGAGAGAUGAGAGCAGAGAGCAGAGCAGAGAGAUGAGAGCAGAGCAGAGCAGAGAGAUGAGAGCAGAGUAGAGUAGAGUAGAGAGAUGAGAGCAGAGUAGAGAGAUGAGAGCAGAGUAGAGCAGAGAGAUGAGAGCAGAGCAGAUGAGAGCAGAGUAGAGUAGAGAGAUGAGAGUAGAGUAGAGAGAUGAGAGCAGAGUAGAGUAGAGAGAUGAGAGUAGAGUAGAGAGAUGAGAGCAGAGUAGAGUAGAGAGAUGAGAGCAGAGUAGAGUAGAGAGAUGAGAGUAGAGUAGAGAGAUGAGAGCAGAGUAGAGUAGAGAGAUGAGAGUAGAGUAGAGAGAUGAGAGCAGAGUAGAGUAGAGAGAUGAGAGCAGAGUAGAGUAGAGAGAUGAGAGCAGAGUAGACAGAUGAGAGCAGAGUAGAGUAGAGAGAUGAGAGCAGAGUAGAGCAGAGAGAUGAGAGCAGAGAGAUGAGAGCAGAGUAGAGAGAUGAGAGCAGAGAGUUGAGCAGAGCAGAGAGUUGAGAGCAGAGCGAUGAGAGCAGAGUAGAGUAGAGUGAUGAGAGUAGAGUAGAGUAGAGUAUAGUAAUGAGGGUAGAGUAGAGAGUAGAGUAUAGUAAUGAGAGCAGAGUAGAGAGUAGAGUAUAGUAAUGAGAGUAGAGUAGAGAGAUGAGAGCAGAGUAGAGAGAUGAGAGCAGAGUAGAGUAGAGAGAUGAGAGCAGAGAUGAGAGCAGAGUAGAGAGAUGAGAGCAGAGUAGAGUAGAGUGAUGAGAGCAGAGUAGAGUAGAGAGAUGAGAGCAGAGAUGAGAGCAGAGUAGAGUAGAGUGAUGAGAGCAGAGUAGAGUGAUGAGAGCAGAGAGAGACAUUGUUUUCCUCAGUGAAAACAAUGUACUGAGCAAAUGUCAAAUUGGCUUUUGACCAAAUUACCGUACGACAGACCAUGUAUUCACAACCAUGAUUGACAAUCAAACCAAAACAAAGGCAAAGUCUUCCCAUGCCUUGUUGAUUUAAAAAAAUCUUUUGAAUACAAAUUGUUGGAAAGUGGUGUUUGGGGGAAAACGUAUGACAUUAUGAAAUCCACGUAGACAAAGAAGUGUGAGGUUAAAAUUGGGAAAUAAACACAUUUCAUUCCUCAGGGCCGGGGGGUGAGACAGGGAUGCAGCUUAAGCCCCACCCUCUUCAACAUAUAUAUCAACAAAUUGCCGAGGGCGCUAGAACAGUCUGCAGCACCCGGCCUCACCCUACUAGAAUCUGAAGUCAAAUGUCUACUGUUUGCUGAUGUCUACUGGUGCUUCUGUCACCAACCAAGGAGGGCCUACAGCAGCACCUAGAUCUUCUGCACAGAUUCUGACAGACCUGGGCCCUGACAGUAAAUCUCAGGAAGACAAAAAUGAUGGUGUUCCAAAAAAGGACCAGUCGCCAAGACAACAAAUACAAAUUCCGUUGCCCUAGAGCACACAAAAAAAAACUAUACAAACCUCGGUCGCCACAGGUAACUUCCACAAAGCUGUGACCAAUCUAAAAGACAAGGCAAGAAGGGCAUUCCAUGCCAUCAAAAGGAACAAAAUUCGACAUCCCAAUUAGGAUCUAGCUAAAAAUACUUGAAUCAGUCAUAGAGCCCAUUGCCCUUUAUGGUUGUGAGGUCUGGGGUCUGCGUACCAACCAAGAAUUCACAAUUAUGCAAAACUAUCCUUAAUGUAUUGUACAACAUAGAAAGACCAAAUAAUGCAUGUGAAGCAGAAUUAGGCCGAUACCCGCUAAUUAUCAAAAUCCAGAAAAGAGCCGUUAAAUUCUACAACCACCUAAAAGGAAGUGAUUCCCAAACCUUCCAUAACAAAGCCAUCACCUUCAGAGAGAUGAACCUGGAGAAGAGUCCCCUAAGCAAGCUGGUCCUGGGGCUCUGUUCACAAACACACCCUACAGAGCCCCAGGACAGCAGCACAAUUAGACCCAAUCAAAUCAUGAGAAAACAAAAAGAUAAUUACUUGACACAUUGGAAAGAAUUUACAAAAAAACUGAGCAAACUAGAAUGCUAUUUGAGCUGCAAUUCCUAACCUCCUGCCAAGUGUUUGACCAUAUUAGAGACACAUAUUUCCCUCAGAUUACACAGGCCGACAAAGAAUUAGAAAACAAACCCAAUUUUGAUAAAUUCCCAUAUCUACUGGGUGAAAUUCCACAGUGUGCCAUCACAGCAGCAAGAUGUGUGACCUGUUGCCACAAGAAAAGGGCAACCAGUGAAGAACAAACACCAUUGUGUAACGGCUUUCUUGUGGUGAAGUAGAGGCGGACCAAAACGCAGGGUGGUGAUGAUUCAUGUUUGUUUAAUAAAGGAAAACUAUACAUGAAUAAACUACAAAACAAUGAAAUGUGAAAACCCAAAACAGCCCUAUCUGGUGCAAAACCCAGAGACAGGAACAAUCACCCACAAACACACAGUGAAACCCAGGCUAUCUAAAUAUGGUUCCCAAUCAGAGACAAUGACUAACACCUGCCUCUGAUUGAGAACCAUAUCAGGCCAAACAUAGAAAUAGACAAACUAGACAUCCAACAUAGAAUGCCCACUCAGAUCACACCCUGACCAACCAAAACAUAGAAACAUACAAAGCAAACUAUGGUCAGGGUGUGACACAUUGUAAAUACAACCCAUAUUUAUGUUUAUUUAUUGUCCCUCGUGUACCCUUAACCAUUUGUACAUUGUUACAACACUG